rnacentral:lncRNA from 1 species
ACAACAUUCUCCUGCAGAGAGGCAUCUCCGGGUUCCUUCGCGAGUCAUGAAGAGUGUCGUGGUCCUUCUGCUUCUGCACGCUGUGGCUUUCAAGGGCGUCAAGGGCCACAACUGGUUUCAGGAGUAUGAAGAAGCUGUGAAGCACCUCAGUGAAGAGGAUCUGAGAAGGGAGUAUCCGGAAAAGAUCCGACCCCAGACCUUCAAACACCCGCCUUUCAAGUGUCCGGACAUGAGCCCGUCACCUACGGUCCCCACUUCAGUUGAAUUUGUUAAAGCUGCCGACAUCAAAGUCAUCGCGGCCCUGGGCGAUUCGCUAACCGUGAGUAGCACCAGACGGGCUCCCGUUACUAGCGAAAGACUCUUUGGGGAUGAUCACAUGUCCAGGCCUCUCUCCACAGACUGCUAUUGGCGCCAACGGGUCUACACUUCUCGGCAUUCCCAUAGAGUACCGCCACGUUUCAUGGAGUAUUGGGGGACACGGAACUUAUCAAGACGUGAUCACCCUUGCCAACAUCGUGAAACUCUUCAACCCCGACGUCCUCUUUCCGGCUCCUAAAUGGACCUUGAACGACCACCCGGUGACCGUGAACGACACCGGUUUCAACCUGGCCGUCACUGGACACAACACGCUGUAAGGCCCGUACGAUGCGUUUCGGACAUGGAAACCGCAC